GGGGCUACGGUUAGAUAAUAUUCUGGUCAGCACAUUCGAUAAACUACAUGGAAUUCAUUAAAUCACUUCUUUUUCUUUCAGUGGUCUUCAACUUUUAAUCUCCAAGAAGGAAAUGUAAUUAAAAGAUGAAUAAAGUAUCCCUAAGAAUACCAGAAGAAAGGCUAUGUGUUGAGAAAAACAGCCCUUCCUCAGUACCUCAGAACUAGAUGAUAGCCCUUAAUUGUUACUUUAUGCUGAAUAUGACACAGUAUAGAAGAUCUGAUCAUGAAGAAGUAACACCAUUGAUACACUUGCCAACUGCCAAAAUUACUUUCUGAUAGUAUGACGAGAUUAGAAGAUAUCAUGGUGUAGUCAUGACACAAACUGCAAAUCAAAGAAUUAAUUGUCUUCCCCAGAGGAUGAACAGAGCACGAUGGCUUCACAUGGAUAACAUUUCCUUUCGAGUUUUGAAAUUAAUUUGUCAGAAUGUUAUGCAUCGUUAUCAACAGAAAAGAACUUCAUAGGUAGACCAAAGCUGACAUGGGAUGAGAUCCUAGAACAAGACCUAGAGUUUACAGGAUUGGAUAGGAUCAAUCCACUGGGUCGCCAAGUGUGGAAGUACAAACUUCAACCUCGACAGGACAGCCAGGCCUCACCCUUGCAAAAAGAUUAAUUUGGCCUGGAUAGUCAAAACGAGUGAUGAUGAUUGAUAUCAAGGUCUGACACUGGAAGCUCAGUAAGGGUAGAUGCUGGCAAUGGAGCUGUUUAGCAAUAAAACAAACAAGUUUAACAUUAAACAUGUUUGUAUACUUUUUUGGCUCACCUGAGCCAAAGGCUCAAGUGAGCUUUUCUGAUCACCUUUGCCUGUCGUCUGUCUGUUUAUAAACUUUUCACAAUUUCAUUUUCUUCUCCAGAGUGAACCACUGGGCCAGUUUCAAUCAAACUUGGUAUGCAUCAUCAAUAGAUAAAGGGUAUUCAAGUUUGUUCAUAUAAAGGGUCAUGCACCCUUCAAAAAGGAAAUAAUCAUGGAAAUGCAAAAAUAGGGUGGGGUCAUUUAAAAAACCUUUUCAAGAACCACUGGACCAGGAAAGUUGAAUUCACACGAAAGGUUCCUGUUUUGUGCAAAUCAUGGUCUCUGGGGGUAGGGUGGGGUCACAAUAGAGAAUCAAAGUUUUACAUUCAUAUAUAGUGCAUAUUCAAGUUUGUAAAAAGCUCACAGGGGUAGGGUGGGGGUCACAAUAGGGGAUUUAAGUUUUACAUGUGAAAUAUAUACAAGGAAAAUCUUUUAAAAUCUUCUCCUCAAAAACUAGAUGCAGAACCGUAGCUCUUUGAAAAGAGAGCUUCAGAUGAACCCCUGCAUCGCUGUCUCAUGAAUUUAAUAUUAAAUAAUUCCCAACAUAUUUUCCCACUAUACUUGUUUCCAAACAUACUUUCAAAUAUUUUCUAAACCCACAUAUAACCCCAAAACAGCUUCAAGUGAUUUCAAUUUCUUUGUUGAUGUAGCCAUGUUAAGUAGCCUGUCAAUUUGAACCCCAGUUCAUUUCCAUACUCAUACUCAUUUUGAAACAUAAUGUCUGUGUGAACUAAUAUCCUCACAAAUAUUUUUAGUGAAAUAUUUUGGAUGAAAUCAUCCCAGUUGGGUUAAAUACUUAUUAUUCAAAUACUGUAGGUUUGAAUAUUGAACUAAUCUCACAGCUUUCUUAAGUUUGGUCCCCAUCCCCGCCAGUCUGUUUUUACGCUUAACUAUUGAAAUGGGGUGUAAGGGAUCAGACUAGGCUUUUAUAGCAUUAUCAAUUUUCAAAAGCUUUAGAAAAAUUAUACAAUUUUAGGUCACUUGAGUAAACUCAGAUGACAUAUUGCUAUUGAUCUGCAUCUGUUGUAGUCCGUAGACAUUAACAAUUGAACAUUUUUAACUAAAUUCUAUAACUGAAAGAUGAAGAUACCGCACAGCGAUCAAUCUACGAUUCAAAUAACGGAAUUCUUUUCAAAUUUAGUAUGAAGCACACAAAUUUACAUUAAACCUUCUUGACAUAGUGCAUAUUCAAGUUUGUUCAAAUCAUUUCCCCGGGAGUUAUGGUGUGGUAACAAUAGGGGGUCAAAGUUUUAUAUGCUAGCUGAUAUAAAGGAAAAUUCUUUAAAGAUAUCUCUUGAACUAUUUAAGCUAGGGCUUUCAUAUCUUGUAUAUACAAUUUUUAUGGCAAAACAAAUCUGACUUAUUCAGUAUGUCCUGAACUACAUUGUGUUUAAGGUAGAUCUUUCAUAUAUAUUAUAUAUUAUGAAUUUCUUAUGAUAAAACCUUUCAUCUUGUUGAGGAGCCUCUCACCUCUGGUUGGCGCGGGUUUGAAUCCUGCUCGCACCGGUAAUUGAGAAAGUUUCCCAGUUUACUCUCGGAAGGUCGGUGGUCUCUUCCCAGGUACAUUGUAUCUGGGUUCUCUCUUCCACCAAUAAAAACUGGGCACCACCAGAUAACUGAAAAAUUGUUGAGUGUGGCGGAAAACAGUUACAACAAUCAAUCAUAUUAUGUUAUUUGACCUUGUGACCCUGAAUUCUGAGUUUGACAUACUUUUAAGAAAGUAUAACAUAUUAAGUGUAUCCAGGACUAUUUUAGAUAGGGCUUUUAUGUUUUGUAUAUUGAUUACUUAUGGCAAGGUCUUUCAUAUCAUACCAAGACCUACGACUUUUUACCUUGGUCUUAUCCAGAACAGCAAUAUCAUGCUAGUCAUAUCUUUGUCUUAUAUGAUUUCAUUUUAGUAAUGUUGUGUUCUUUAGAGCUAGGUUUGGGUCACAUUAUUCAUGAGAAUAAAGAUUGAUAAAAUAGCAUUUAAAAAUCAAAACAGCAGGGCCAAGAUGACUCAGGUGAGCGACGUGGCCCAUGGGCCUCUUGUUGAUUUUGAUAUUUCUACCUAUAUCAUUUGUAUGAGAAAUGGAACUCCUUUUUUUCUUUUACAAAUACAUGUAUUAUCAUAUGGAUCCAUCUUUGUUGAUUAUUUAAUCAAAGGACAUAUUCAAUUCAUUCAAUGUAUUAAAUGUAAAUUUAUGGAUAUGUCUGUGGUUAAAUUACUUAUGUAUGUAUGUAUACAUUUUUCUCGCACAUGCAAUUACAUAUAUGAUGUAUAUAUAUUUACUAAUUGUACAUGUAAUAUCCCCUGUUAUAUAAUAAAAUAUAUGACUGAGAAUAAAAGACCUGCUGUUUUCAUUGCUACCAUGACACAUUAAAAGAUUAGAAUAAUUCAAAUAUCUUAAUGAAUUCUAUAAUAUAUGAAUUUGAUAUUUGUAUAUGAUUGCCUCACUGGUGUUCAAUGUGAACUUUGGUUUAUUGUUUCAGUUUGCUCGAUCUUUAUAUCAAAUUAAAAUUUAAGACAAAUAAGGAAUUAUUUCCGAAAUUGGUUAAUAUGGUACAUUGUAGUAAAA